AUGAACAUACAAAUACCAACACCAGCAGUAGCAGUGACUGGGGUCUCCGUUCAGCCUGCUGUAUCAUUUGUUCAGCCCGCUGUAAGGGUUGUUCAGCCCACUGUAUCAUUGGUUCAGCCCGCUGUAAGGGUUGUUCAGCCAACUGUAUCAUUGGUUCAGCCCGCUGUAAGGGUUGUUCAGCCCACUGUAUCAUUGGUUCGGCCCGCUGUAACGGUUGUUCAGCCCACUGUACCGUUGGUUCAGCCCACUGUGGUCAUGAGUCCAAUGUCAGUGCUACAUAAGUCUUCAUUCUGACUCGAGAUGCUAACUUGACUGGACAGCGAGAGUUAGCGAUGGGCCACUCCAGAGUGGCAUUUAUCCUGAACAAUGUGGCUCUCGGUAUCGGCCUCGCAAUCAUAACAGUGGUCAUUAUCCUUUCCAUUAAAUUAGGUCAUUGAACAACAUCGUUGAACAGAUGUUUUAUUCUGCUUCAAAUGCAUCUACUCAUACUGUCAAUGAUACUGUCAACUCAAAUCAAUGAUUUUUGGAAGAAAUAACAUGUAUUUUCCAGACCCUCUGAAGGGAAUGAUCUAAUGUAUGCUUAUGUUUUAUUUCUUUUUUUUUUAAUGCUGGCAGACUGAUCUGUUUGAUUAGCAGAAAUUAAAUGCUUUACUGCUUUUAACUUAAAGCUGAUUUAAAAUGUUAAUUAAUAAAUAUAUAUAUAUAUAUAUAUAUAUAUAAAUU
ensembl:lncRNA